UAUUUUUUCCUAAAUCUCUUGAUAGUUUUAUAAAAUAUUUAUCACAUAGAUUAUCAUCCAUUGCUUUUCCUGUUUGUGAUAGCAAUCUUGUAAAAUCUAAUGUAAAUUCAUUUAUGUAUUUCACAUCAGUUGUACUUAAUUGUUCUCACUACGUCAAAAUAGACCUUUAGCCACGAACACCCUUCUGAAACUAAGAACCAUUACUUUAUGGAGGGAGGAAGAUAGAGUAGUUCAUCCUAAGAGCUUUUCCUCUAGUGCCUUUGUUUGCAUCUAGCAAGCAGGUAACUCUCCACGAACAAUCAGCCCUUCUGAAACUAAGAACCAUUACUUUAUGGAGGGAGGAAGAUGGUGUAGUUCAUCCUAAUUCUGAAAUCAUUUCAAUCAACACUAUGAAACAAUACCUUCAUUGUCUUCUUAAACUGUACAAAUCUUCUACAACCAUCGCCUCUCCUGACUCAACACAACCACAGUCACAAGAAUUACCACAAUCCGCCAUCAUUGUCCCCUCAGGCUCUCCUCAAAAUCGCUCGUGAAUUUCCAGCUUAAGAUAAAGCUCUUAAAUUUUUCGAUUUCAUUUGUCUCUGCAUCCACCUCCAUUAGAUUUCGUAUUUCAAAAUGUUAUUGAGCCCAAGGAAAUUGUGCUUCCAUUGUUAGUUUAUUUAAUCUUUCAAAGGAACGGGAGGUUUCUCUUUCCCCUAACAAAUCAAUCAGGUUAAUUAGUUACUUUUCCCAUUUUAAAAAGCUUGAUGAUUCGGUGUUAAUGUAUGAUGAGUUAGACCCCGAUGCGAAGAACACUAAUGUAAGAAACAUACUAUUUUAUUUGUUGUUGGAAUCUGAAAUAUUUUAGGAUGCACACCAACUGCUCGAUGAAAUGCUUGACACAAAUGCUAAGAUUCCACUUAAUGGAAUAACGUCAAACAUUUUUUUUCUUGUGUUAUUGAGGCGGAAUUAGGUGAACAGGACUGAUGAUUUCAUUGGUUUGAUUCCAAAAUUCGGGGUACAUGGUGUACUUCCUAAUAAAUUUUGCUGACUAAAUUGAUCACUAAGUUGUGUAUGAGUUAUCUAUUAGUUGCUUCAGGCCCAAAAGUUAUCCUACACCAGUGGACUGGUUCUGAAUCGAAUAGUAUUCCUUUUUAGAGGUCAAACAUUAGUGUGCUCAACCCUUGCAUUCGAGUUAGGCUAACUGCUUGAAAUUUUGUUUAACCCUUGCAUUCAAACACUAAGCAGUUGUCGUUGUAGCUUAGAUGGCAGUUUCCGAGAUCACGGUCCACAGCUGCAGCUCUGUUCCACCAUUUGAGGUAACAUAUGUCAAUGAUGAACUUAGUCAGAAGACAUUGAUUUUAUGGGGAGACUUAAAAGACAAACUCAAUUCCAACAGACAAUCUUUUUCUUUUUGUUCAUUUUUAUAGAGGCCCGAUGAAUUCCAAAUCGUGAAACCAAAGUGGAACCAAACGGUUAGUGAUAGUUCGGUUUGGCUCGGUUUCAAUUUUCAAUGGUACAGUUUCGGUUUCGAUAAUAAGAAACCGUUACUAGUGGUUUGGCUCACAGUUUAAACUAAAAACCGUCAAAUUGGACCGUGAACACCACUAUUUGCUAUCAAUUCACUUGCCACCACAGGUAUGGAAUUAUCUUUCAUUGUUUAUAGUUGUUAUGGAUUUUUUGUUAAAUAAAAAAUAUUACAGAUGUGUUUUUUGUUCUAUGGUUGUAUUUUUUUUAUUUUUUAUCUGUUAUUGUUGAAUGUCUAUAUUAAAGUCAUGUUUAGUAUAUUUUUUCCUAAAGUGAAAUUUGCAGAUAAUUGAGGUUGUUUGUUGCAAGAUGGCUCUUCACCAAAAAAAUGUAUACUUACUUUGUUCAGAGCAUUAUUCUAGUGAAAUGUUCGUCAUAUCAUGGUCUAAAAACUAAACAUCAUGGUGGCUGUUGGGUGCAAAUAAUAGUUUUUGUUAUCUAAGUUAAGUUGUUGGUCUUUUACAUUUAUUUU